rnacentral:tRNA from 1 species
GCCCGGAUGGUGGAAUUGGUAGACACGCUAGGUUGAGGGCCUAGUCCGGGUCAAACCGGGUGCAGGUUCGAGCCCUGUUCCGGGCACCA